GGGGUUCGACAUUAAGGACGAGAUCAAAGGAAUAGAAAGCCAUUUUAGAAGCUUAAAAUUGCAAACAUUUCUCAACUACUACAUAUUCAUAACCGAUGAAGACAAACCAAGAUUAACAGAGGAAUACCAAUAUAAGAUGUGAAUCUAUAAAACUUCGACCCGACCACAUAAUGGAAUCACAUAGGACAGAUAUAUCGCAUUGAAGCAUUCAACAAACCGGCAAUAACUAAUAACAAAUGACCAUAUAAUAAAGCUUUUCCGACAUCGAAAAAUAUCGAAUCGAGAUGGGAGCAGAGGCGAGGAGAACGCUGAAAAGGAAGGAGUGUUACCUUCUUAAGGGCAGCAACUGAGGCGAAAACGAGCAUGGGCGACUUCACCAC
rnacentral:lncRNA from 1 species